rnacentral:lncRNA from 1 species
UAAGCAUCAUAUUUAUAUAUAUAAAAAGAUGGAGUACAUACAAAACCAUCAAGUUUAAAAGUAUAACUAACGUGUUCGAGGCACAGCUCGUAACUACACAUACGGUAAACAAAAUAUAUAUAUAUAUUCGGUCACAGCCGUCAUCAAAAUGCAUGAUCAUAAACCAAUAUAUAUAAAGUCUCGACCCACCAAAAUUGGAAGAGGCUAAGUUGGUUAGUAGCAAGAUAUAUUUACCAAAAACAGCAACAUAUAAUACUUCAUCAUAUAAUAGAACGGGAGAAUGUGGAGCUCCAUGUCUGCCGUCUUGCCGUCAACUCCUUAACCUGAAAAGAAUCAUAAAUAAUAGGGUAUGAGUGUGCAAGCACACUCAGUGGGGUAAACACUGCAAGCAGUUAUAACCAAUUGUGUAAUGAAUCAUAACAUGUUGAACUCUUAUAAUUUUUCACGUAGCUGACAUCUUGUGAGACUAGUCUCGGUCCCUUGUGGACCUGACCCCUUGUGGGCCGUUCAGCUCUUUGAUCCCUUGUGGAUCCGACCCCUUGUGGGUCCCAUUAGUUCAUAUGAAUGACGCACAACACAACAAUGAUUAUAACCAUGUAACAACUACGCUUACA